rnacentral:rRNA from 1 species
GAUGAACGCUAGCGACAGGCCUAACACAUGCAAGUCGAGGGGCAGCAUGAACUUAGCUUGCUAAGUUUGAUGGCGACCGGCGCACGGGUGAGUAACACGUAUCCAACCUUCCGUUUACUCAGGGAUAGCCUUUCGAAAGAAAGAUUAAUACCUGAUAGUAUGGUGAGAUUGCAUGAUAACACCAUUAAAGAUUUAUUGGUAAACGAUGGGGAUGCGUUCCAUUAGGUAGUAGGCGGGGUAACGGCCCACCCUAGCCUGCGAUGGAUAGGGGUUCUGAGAGGAAGGUCCCCCCACAUUGGAACUGAGACACGGUCCAAACUCCUACGGGAGGCAGCAGUGAGGAAUAUUGGUCAAUGGGCGAGAGCCUGAACCAGCCAAGUAGCGUGAAGGAUGAAGGUCCUACGGAUU